rnacentral:rRNA from 1 species
UUCGUAGGUGACCUGCGGAAGGAUCAUUACACACUGAGCAAUGCCUAUAGGGUGCGACCGGCUUUUGCGGUCGUCUCUAGAGGUGUAGCCAGCCUACCCUUGCUUAUAUCAACCUUUGUGCAUCCCUCGGCGGGGAGACCCGCCGCUGGGACCAUGAAAACCCUCUUGCAUCAAGCACCCACAUUCUGAAUUUAUUUUAAACGUUUACAACUUUCAACAAUGGAUCUCUUGGUUCUGGCAUCGAUGAAGAACGCAGCGAAAUGCGAUAAGUAGUGUGAAUUGCAGACUUUAGUGAAUCAUCGAAUUUUUGAACGCACAUUGCGCCCCUUGGUAUUCCAUUGGGCAUGCCUGUUCGAGCGUCAUUUCUCCCUUCAAGCACCGCUUGGUGAUGGGUGUUUGUCCGUGUCAUCUGCGCGGACUCGCCCCAAUAACAUUGGCAGCAGGCCGCCGGUCUCUCGCGCAGCACUUUGCGCUUCUCGAGGCCGUGGCGAGCCGGCGUCCAUCAAGAUCUCCCCCAGUUUGACCUCGAAUCAGGUAGGGAUACCCGCUGAACUUAAGCAUAUC